rnacentral:lncRNA from 1 species
UGGUUGCUCACUCCUCCGCACACCGUGUGCUCAGGUAUAGCAGCCCUCCUUGCCAGAGGCCGGGGGGUCGCUGCCCCUUCACCUGCCUCUGCCCUGCUUUUCCUUGCCUUUCUUUCAGAGCUGUCCCCAAGCCUCUCUGACGCCGCCACCGCGUUGCCCCCCAUCCCUCCCCCUACUCCAAGUGGGAGAGCAGAGGAAGCUGGAGAUCAGUGAGGCACUAAAUCACGAGGAGCCUCUACUGAAAUACUGGAAGGCCCUCAUGGAGGAAAGGCUCUCUCUGAAGGCGAUGCACGGAGAUGGGAGCUGUCUGCGGAAAACAUGCCGAGGGAUUACGACUAAACCCGAGACGGUCUUUACUUUGACGGCCGGGGAAUAUCAGCACCCCGAUGGCCAGGCGCCGCGACCUCCGGUCCGUCUUCUCCCGGUGCAAGCGAAGCUGCGGCUGAUUUCGCGACCUGCUUGUAGUUCCCGUGGAAAAUAACUUAACCUUCAUCGCUCGCAACACUCUCUUGCGUUAACCCGUGAAAUGUUCAUUAGUUUAAAAAAGCUUUAUUUAAAGAUUACAAUAAGGCGGUGGUAAACAAUAACUUUCUCUCCGUCACAUGCAAAAUCAAUGUAGGAAAACCGUGCGUGUUUCAAGGCGUCAUUAUUUUCUUCUGUAAAAGCGCCGGGGAGGGAAAUCUCUAGUUACUGGCUAUAAGCCCCCCCGUCC